GACGAACGCUGGCGGCGUGCUUAACACAUGCAAGUCGAACGGAAAGGCCCUGCUUUUGUGGGGUGCUCGAGUGGCGAACGGGUGAGUAACACGUGAGUAACCUGCCCUUGACUUUGGGAUAACUUCAGGAAACUGGGGCGAAUACCGGAUAGGAGCUCCUGCUGCAUGGUGGGGGUUGGAGAGUUUCGGCGGUUGGGGAUGGACUCGCGGCUUAUCAGCUGGUUGGGGGGGUAGUGGCUGACCAAGGCUGUGACGGGUAGCCGGCCUGAGAGGGUGACCGGCCACCUUGGGCCUGAGAUACGGCCCAGACUCCUACGGGAGGCAGCAGUGGGGAGUAUUGCAGAAUGGGCGGAAGCCUGAUGCAGCAACGCCGCGUGCGGGAUACUGGGCUUCGGGGUGUAAACCGAUUUCGCCUGUGCCGAAGCGGGCGUGACGGUAAUGGGUAAAGAAGCACCGGCUAACUACGUG
rnacentral:rRNA from 1 species